GCUUGGACCCCCCUGCGAGGUGAGAGAAUCCAUGGUAUCCUGCGAAUAGCCCUUGGGAUCUGCUGCCCACCCCAGUGUCAGGAGACGGAGCUAAAGGGAGAUGGGAGCGGAGGAGAUGCACCUGACAGGCUGCAACAGAUCCAGACGUGCUCUAGUGCGGCUGGAGCUGAACGCCCACGUGCCAGAGGGGGCAGAAGGCAGCGCGCUGUCACUGCUGGGGAGGUGAGAACAGUGAAAGGUGGCACCAGGGCCCCUGACAGGGACUGCAGUGUGCGCUGCCAGACAGGUACUAGCCUUGUGCAGUUUGUUUGGAUUUUUUUCAUUUCCCUAGACGUGCUGUGUUGGCCAUCAUCUUAAUACCAUGCUUUCUUCAUUCUGAGUAACAGCAGCACCAGUUCUCUCUGUAGCGGCAGCCAAGUGCCUGGCUGCCCAGAGCUGCUGCUCAGGGCCAGAGGAAGGACGUCGGUGUGCCCGGUGCGUAGGUGGAGCUUGGCUGGGACGAGGCGAGGAUAAAGCUCCGUGGAGCAAAGCGAC